rnacentral:rRNA from 1 species
CAGCAGCCGCGGGAAUACGUAGGGGGCUAGCGUUAUCCGGAUUUACUGGGCGUAAAGGGUGCGUAGGUGGUCCUUCAAGUCGGUGGUUAAAGGCUACGGCUCAACCGUAGUAAGCCGCCGAAACUGGAGGACUUGAGUGCAGGGGAGGAAAGUGGAAUUCCCAGUGUAGCGGUGAAAUGCGUAGAUAUUGGGAGGAACACCAGUAGCGAAGGCGGCUUUCUGGACUGCAACUGACACUGAGGCACGAAAGCGUGGGUAGCAAACAGGAUUAGAGACCCGAGUAGUCCCUGUCUCUUAUACC